GAUGAACGCUGGCGGCGUGCCUAAUACAUGCAAGUCGAGCGAACGGACGAGAAGCUUGCUUCUCUGAUGUUAGCGGCGGACGGGUGAGUAACACGUGGAUAACCUACCUAUAAGACUGGGAUAACUUCGGGAACCCGGAGCUAAUACCGGAUGAUAUUUUGAACCGCAUGGAUCAAAAGUGAAAGACGGUCUUGCUGUCACUUAUAGAUGGAUCCGCGCUGCAUUAGCUAGUUGGUAAGGUAAAGGCUUACCAAGGCAACGAUGCGUAGCCGACCUGAGAGGGUGAUCGGCCACACUGGAACUGAGACACGGUCCAGACUCCUACGGGAGGCAGCAGUAGGGAAUCUUCCGCAAUGGGCGAAAGCCUGACGGAGCAACGCCGCGUGAGUGAUGAAGGUCUUCGGAUCGUAAAGCUCUGUUAUUAGGGAAGAACAUAUGUGUAAGUAACUGUGCACGUCUUGACGGUACCUAAUCAGAAAGCCACGGCUAACUACGUG
rnacentral:rRNA from 1 species